GGGGGCGCAAUGGCUUCGACGUGGGUAGCAAAACCUGAGGAGCAUGCCAAGGUGCGGAGCCUUGUAAAAAGCCGCAUUUAAAGUAAUCGCAAACGACGAUACUUACGCCCUAGCUGCAUAAGCUAGCGCCUGGCCGAGAUUGUCUGUGGUCUCGCUCUGAUCGGCUAAUACCGUGAAGUUAAGUCAGGCGUCAUUGCACGCAGACUCGCUGUUAUUCCUGUCUCGGGGAUAGUGGCUAAAUCAAACCGGGGCUCGCGCUUUGUCAGCCUGACCGUCGGCUCGUUAAAGCGUCAAACUUAAAGACGGUGCUAAGCAUGUAGCGCCAAGGGCGGAGUGCUCGCGGACGGGGGUUCGACUCCCCCCGCCUCCACCA
rnacentral:tmRNA from 1 species